AUUGAACGCUGGCGGCAUGCCUUACACAUGCAAGUCGAACGGUAACAGGUCUUCGGAUGCUGACGAGUGGCGAACGGGUGAGUAAUACAUCGGAACGUGCCUAGUAGUGGGGGAUAACUACUCGAAAGAGUGGCUAAUACCGCAUGAGAUCUACGGAUGAAAGCAGGGGAUCGCAAGACCUUGUGCUACUAGAGCGGCCGAUGGCAGAUUAGGUAGUUGGUGGGAUAAAAGCUUACCAAGCCGACGAUCUGUAGCUGGUCUGAGAGGACGAUCACCCACCCUGGGACUGCGACACGGCCCAGACUCCUACGGGAGGCAGCAGUGGGGAAUUUUGGACAAUGGGCGCAAGCCUGAUGCAGCAAUCCCGCGUGCAGGAUGAAGGCUUUCGGGUUGUAAACUGCUUUUGUACGGAACGAAAAGCCCUGGGUUAAUACCCUGGGGUCAUGACGGUACCGUAAGAAUAAGCACCGGCUAACUACGUGCCAGCCGCCGCAGUAAGAC
rnacentral:rRNA from 1 species